rnacentral:snRNA from 1 species
GUGCUUGCUUCGGCAGCACAUGUACUAAAAUUGCAACGACACAGAGACGAUUAGCAUGGCCCUGUGCAAAGAUGACAUGCAAAUUUGUGAAGCAUCACAUGAAAAA